GACCCUGCCCUCUUGUUCAUCAUCUUCUUCAAGCAGCCAUCCAUGGCUUUUUCUGAACGAAAAAUAGGACCGCCCUGACAUCGUCUUCAAUACCACCCAAAAAUGACCCCUUCGUUGGAGCUCCUUCUUCAUUACAAUAACAACAGACCAGAGCUUACACCUUCAGGACCCCUCUCUUCAGCUAGACACAGCGGCUUCUCCACCAGAAAUUGUUGUUCUAUCUUUUUCUACACCCACCAGGCGAACCAGACCCCUGAACUGCCUCCUGAAAUCAAAUGACCUCGUCACUAGCUCCCUGCUGCUAGGGUGACCCCUAUGUGUCUUUUCACAUCUCUUUACUACUCAUAAAUGCACACACAUACAUGGGAGAAGAUCUGGUAAAAACAAAGAGAGAGUAGAAAAUCGUGAAAGCAAAAACAAAGAAUCAUCUUCGUCUAAUGUUUCGAGUUUUCAAACAUGGAGUUCAAUCGAGUUCGAGGUGUCGUCUGCAGUGCUGUUCGUGAUCCUGUUUGAGUUUGAUUGUUGUUUCGAGUUUUGGUUGUAGCGUUUGCUCGAUUCCUGUCCGUGUACUAUUGAAAAUUUCAUCAAAUGAAAGGUUCGAUUUUCAGUUUGUCAUAGUUGUUGAAAUUCUAUUAAUUGGAAAAUAAUUUCAGUUCUUAAGCCUCAUUUUUUCUGCUAGAGUUUUGUUAAUUUGAGUCCAUUUCAAAGCUCGUGUGCGAGAUUCAUUUGGAGCUGACACGC
rnacentral:lncRNA from 1 species